GUAUGGGACUUGUAGGCUUAGGCCCUCGUGAUUGCUGCAGCCUGGGCUGGCCUUCCUCUCUCCGUUACUGCCCUCUCUCUUUAAAUCAGCGCGUCCUCAAAGUGCCUGAUUAUAAGAAUCGUCUGCUAGGCUGAUUGAAAGUAUAGAUUCACAGAGGCAGAAAUGGAGGCACAGAAAGUUUGUUACCCUGAUCACGUAGCUAGAGGUGGAAGAGGAGGGUUUGAACAAAGGUUUCCUGAAUCCAAAUCUUGGCAAUGUUUAACCUAAGGUGUUCUACAUUCUGAGAGCUAGCUGGCAUCAAAGCAUGGCAUCUGAAUCAAAGAAAUUUGGAAGAAGAGAACUUUCUCAUCCGAGUGGCUGCCAACACCCCCGCCCCAGCUGAAGUGCUCCCUUGUUCUCGCCUGCUCUGCCCCAGAUCCGUGGGCCACUCUCCGAAUCGUUGGCAAUUUUCUCUGCACUGUCCUGACAACCUCAGGCCAUGAAAAUUAAAAAACUAGUUACCGAAUCUCGCUCCUAACGGCUUUGUCCUUGUCAGCGAUUCGACAGAGAAAUCUGGAAGAGGGAGCCUCCUUAGGCCUGCAGUGGGCUGAAAUGCCACCAGAAUGACAAUGGGCUUUGCCGUGGGAGGAGGGGAGAAUGUGCAGUGUGCCAGGAGUGAAUGAAUGAAUGAAAGGGAGAGAGAGAGAGAGAGAGAGAGAGAGAGAGACAGGGUGAGCGCACAAACUUUGGGCUUCAAAUUAAAUUCCAGUGUCUCAGCAGAGGUCCUGGUGUCUGUACUCCAGGACCUUCUGCCAAAUGCUGAGCAGGGCACUUUUCCCCACGCCAUUACCCUCUGGUCCUCCUCCAGGGUACAGAGCUCUGGGCUGGAGAGGGGGGCAGUCAGAAUUUGGUGAGGAAAUGGCUCCAAAGUGGGGAAAGCCCUGGGAGGCCGGCCCACCUAGUCAGCUUGCUAUCUGCCCAAGCUUCCCCCACCACCUCAAGGGUCUCCCCUGAUUUCAGACAUUAGUACUCACUCCACAUACUAUCACCGCCCCCCUCACCACCCUGCUGAAGGAAUUUUAAGAAAUCCUCAAAAACUGGAGGAAUUUUAAUUACCCUUGAUUAAGAAAAAACUUUCUAGAAGACCACUGUGAUGGGUGACUCACUGCGACAUGGGUGUCCCUGAGCUGCAGGAGGGUGGGGCUCAGCCUCGUGGCUCUGUGUCCCCAGCCCUUGGCUUUGGGACCCACACAGAGCAAAGGCCUGGCAGGUGCUUGUUGGGUGAAGGAGUAGGAACAGCUUCAUUCAGAGAGUUCUUGUUCCUGCCUCAUCCCCCCGGGGCGUGGACUUGCAGACUGACGUGGGGAUUUGCAGGGAAGCAGGAGAGAGAGGUAUCAAAGCACUGGGUCCUCAGGGCCAGGCCGAGCGAGGUCUGUGACUUCAUAGCCAAGAGACCUUGAACAAGUUGCUUAACAUCCUCAAGCGUGUCUCCUUAUCUCUGACAUGGGAAUCACCAUGGUGUCCAUGCAGAGGGAGGCUGUGAAUUAAACAAAGGCCUGCAGGUCUGCUUGCUGUAUAGUCAGUGCUCAGUAAGAAGAAAAACUUAACCAGGCCUAGACCCAGAGCCCCUCCCGAGAUAGGGAGACUCUUCUCAAGGGCUUCUGCCUCAUCAUCCACGGAUCUUGGGAUUAGUCUCAUUACUGGACAGGCCUGGCAUCGAAGGGACCCCGGGAAGCUGGGCUGGUUCUCGCUGUUUAACUGAGCACGUGCAUUCACUCAGUCUCUCAUUCGUUCAUAAAAGUAUCAGUAUUUAUUGAGCACCUUCUACAUGCUGCCUUGUGCUGGGGUUUGGGCUAAAAGAGUAAGUGAAAGGUGGCCUGAUCUCAGUUCUUGAAGCUAACAAGAAACAAACAAGCAAAGUCAAGAUCAGAAUCAUUUGGGGUCCAGAUCAGUAGGUGGUCAGGGAAAGCUUCUCUUGCGGGGCAGUAUUUGAACCGAGAUCUAAAUAACAAGGAGCGGCCAUGCUCCGGCCGGAGGGAAGAGGGACCUGGGAAGGAAGCAAUAGUUCAAAGGCUUGGAGGUGGGGACAGGACUGGUUAGGGGGCACGUGUGGCCAAGGUUGAUGGAGCGGCGGGGUGGGGGUAGCAGAUGGUUUCUGGGAAGCCCUGGGAGAGCUCAUUUCAUAGGAAGGCUGCCCGGAGGACUGGGGCUGGGCCCAGAGUCCAGAACACGUACUGAGGGUGGAGUGCUUUCACCAAUGUCUCCCUGGAGGCCUGCUCUGGCCCCUCUUUGCCCUACACCUGCUGUGACUCUGCAUUAAAGGACAGAUCGUUCAGAAGAGAGGUGUAGUUCCGCCAUUAUUAUGUGUGGCCCACUUUCACACAGUGCAUGUCUCCCUGACCGUGGGGGUCGCACCUGGGUGGAGGGGGUGAAUACGCUCUCCUGUCUGCCACCAGGCUCUCCUGCUGCUCUUAGCGUGUGGAGCACACACUGGUGCUGGCUGCCAGGGGUGCAGGUAGUCCUGCUGGAAUCGGAGAUACCCUUCCCCAGCUGGGUCCUGAUUGGGGCAGUGGUCAAGCAAGCUCCACGGUGGGCCCAUCCUCCAGGCCCCCAACCUGAGAUCACUCCCAUGACCAAGCCCUCCUUGGUCCCAGCUGUGCAAACAGAGGACCUGCAGCCACCCUGGAUGUUGGAUCUGGGGUCCCAACACACGUUGGCGUGACCAGCCAAUUCACAAAGGGCUGCCUGCUUGGGGUCAGGCACCAAGAGACAUUUAACCCAGCACCAUUCAUUCAUUCAUUCAGUAAAUGUUUGUUAAGUACCUACCGUGUGCAAUGCAUUGUAUUAGUGCCAUGUUAUAUACUAUACAUGGGGAACUGUGUGGUGACCAAAAUACAAAUGAUUCUGGUUUUCACAGACAUCAGUAUUUUUAAGGGGGUGAAGACACACGAAACAAGGAAACCUACAAAUACGUAAUUCUGAACACAGUAAGUGAGAGAAAACACAAGACAUACAGCAUAUGUUACAGUUCGGUCAAAACUGAUCUAAUGGUCCAGGUAUGAAGGCUUAGGUAAGGUGCCAGCCACAUAUAAAUACCCAGAAUGCCCGUAUCAUCUGUGAAGUUCAUUACUAAUAAUACUGCCAGCAUGAAUAAAUAUGAAAACCAUGUUGUUGAGGAAGUCUGAAAUGUGGCCAGUAUUGAGAUUAGCCGGCGAAUCCUGAUGUUAACGAAAGUGGUUAAAUUUGACAGUCACUGACUGUGUGUGUAAACUCAGAGAUGGGAACAGGUGAGAGGUUUGUGGAGCAUCUCCUGUGUCAGGCUCUGUGGGGGGCACUGGGGGUCCCCAGGAUGUUAAAUGUUAGCUAGAAGUAAAGUGCCCCUGCCUGCCCGCCCCUUGGAGCACCUCACAGGGCCUGCCCGCGCCGUGCCACGUGAGGCAUGGCCAGGCUGCAAAUUCCCGCUUGGCUGUUUUGUUUUGCUUCAAGAUUUGACCUUGUUGCCAGAUUUCUGUCGAGAUUAACCCGACAGAGUUCCGAAUGUACUUCAUUCUAUGGCGGGUUAGGUUUCCACAGUCGAUGAAGUCAGUUAUGCCUUACAUCUCCGUGAAGCAGGCGCAGAAGGGGAGGUUUGCAUGGCAGAAAAAUCUCUUUUUAGAUUGGGCAGAAUAGAAUUCAUGCUUGAGAGUCGUGCUAUUUCUGUCUCUAGUCUCAUUUUGUACCCAUUUCUGUUUGAAGCUGUGUCCUAUUCCAGUGCAAAACCCUCUUCCUCCUCCUCCCCCCACUCAUCUCCUUCCC